rnacentral:rRNA from 1 species
UACGUAGGGUGCAAGCGUUAAUCGGAAUUACUGGGCGUAAAGCGUACGCAGGCGGCUUUGCAAGACAGGUGUGAAAUCCCCGGGCCUAACCUGGGAACUGCAUUUGUGACUGCAUAGCUAGAGUCUGUCAGAGGGGGGUGGAAUUCCACGUGUAGCAGUGAAAUGCGUAGAGAUGUGGAAGAACACCGAUGGCGAAGGCAGCCCCCUGGGAUAAGACUGACGCUCAUGUACGAAAGCGUGGGGAGCAAACAGGAUUAGAAACCCCCGUAGUCC